CCUCCUAUAGGUGGGGAUGCCGAUAGCACUCCUGGUUUACCUCCAUCUCAUCUAGGAUCUGUACAAACAAGUUCAGCCCCUCCACCACCUCCUCCUCCCCCACUUGCACUUGGACCUGUACAAACAACUUUAGUCCCACCACCUCCUCCACCACCACCACCCCCAGGUACUGUGAGAACAAAUUCAGUCCCACCACCUCCGCCUCCACCUCCAGGUCCUUUGCGAACAGAUUUGGCCCCUUCACCUCCACCACCAUCUCCUCCUCCUCCUCUUUUAAAUCCUAUGCGAACAGGUUCAGCCCCACCACCACCUCCACCU
rnacentral:lncRNA from 1 species